rnacentral:lncRNA from 1 species
CAGGUGAGGAAACAGGGACACACCUUCCCGGAGGAGGGGCAGGGCCCCUCCGCGCGCGAGCCCCAUUGGUGUGAAAGAAGCUCCCGCGUCAGAGCUGGGAAGUGCCGGGCCGGCGGAGAGGGGAGCCCGGGCGCACGGGCCAGGCCGCGGGCUGUCCCAGGGAGCCCCGAGGGCGCGGUGCGCGGGCGCAGGUCGGGCGCAGGCGGGGUGACCCGGGGAAGGGGCGCGCACAGAGACAGAGGGAGCCAGCCGGGCCCCACGGUGUCCUCGGACGCCUCCGAAAUCUCCCUGCGUGUUUGUUUCUUCGGAGCUUCACCGGAGCCUGACUCUGGAACCGGCCUGUCUGCCUGCUGCAGUCUGUCAUUCAACAUUUAUUCAACCAAAAAUACUAAGUCAGCUCUAUACAAACUAAUGGAAGGAUACAGCUAUGCAAAUAUAGAACACUAAAGUGUUACAUGACAGAUGUAUGAGAACUGGGAAGAAAGGACCCUGAAAAGUUAGCUGGUUCCAAGUGACCCUCCAAGGGGAAGAGUGCUGGAUUCAGAGCCCACCUCAGGGGAAGACAGGACCCUCUCCAAGAUGGUUUCCCUAGAAGCUACUACCUCUCCCUGGAGGGUGGAGAUAUUUGCUGGUCAAAGCAAGAAGGCCCUCUGCAGAUGCUGACACCUUGAUAUUGGACUUCCCAGAUUCCAGAACUCUGAGAAAUAAAUUUCUAUUUUAAAUAAAUUACCCAGUCUGUGA